CUGAAAAUCUUAAUUGGUAAGAGUACU
rnacentral:misc_RNA from 1 species